UACGUAGGGUGCGAGCGUUAAUCGGAAUUACUGGGCGUAAAGUGUGCGCAGGCGGCCGCGCAAGUCGAGUGUGAAAGCCCCGGGCUUAACUUGGGAAUUGCGCUCGAAACUACGUGGCUGGAGUGUGGCAGAGGAAGGUGGAAUUCCAGGUGUAGCGGUGAAAUGCGUAGAGAUCUGGAGGACACCGAUGGCGAAGGCAGC
rnacentral:rRNA from 1 species